UACAGAGGUGGCAAGCGUUGUUCGGAAUUACUGGGCGUAAAGGGCGCGUAGGCGGCCUUCUAAGUCAGACGUGAAAUCCCCAGGCUUAACUUGGGAACUGCGUCUGAUACUGGGAGGCUUGAAUCCGGGAGAGGGAUGUGGAAUUCCAGGUGUAGCGGUGAAAUGCGUAGAUAUCUGGAGGAACACCGGUGGCGAAGGCGACAUCCUGGACCGGUAUUGACGCUGAGGCGCGAAAGCCAGGGGAGCAAACGGG
rnacentral:rRNA from 1 species